AGUCCUCUCUCCUGCGCCGCAUGCUGCCUCGCGCUCCCUUUCCUUCCCCCUCUACCCCCUUCCGCGAUUUACUGUUUCCUCGCGCCCAACAGAAAUGGGCGACCGCAAGUCUUACUCUCGCCGGCGUUACAAAGGUACCGGCCUUUGACCUCUCCUUGAAUUAAUGUGAUCCGAUUCAUCUUCCCUCCAAGUUUUUUUUUUAAUUUAAUUACCCCUCCCUGCCCUGGCCCUGCCAGCUUCAGCUCCACCUCCUUGGAGGAAGCAGGCGCUUUUACAGAGCGCCGCGCGGCAGGUCCCCUUUCAGCCAAUCACAUCUGCGGAACCGCGUUCCGAGUCGUUUGAGGGUGUCUGGUAAAGCAAGCUCGGGGCGGUGUUGGAAAUCUGAAUGUCACCCGCGGUCCGGAGCAGAUAGGAUGGGCUGGGAAGGUACCCGCGAACUGCCGCCGGAAUUCGCUGGCAGCUGUGCGAGGCUCAGAAAGGAAGGAGGAGACCUGAACAGUACAUCCGGAGAAUCCAGCAAAGCAUACUACGGCAUGAACGUGCAAGUGGACAGAAUUAAAACACAUGCCAGAAACACUAAUGGAUUCUAAACAAGAUGCAGUUUCAUUUCCUGAGCCUAUACGUGAUGUUUUUAACUGUUCUCCAGUUAAUAUGUCUCCAUUUCCAGAAAUCUAACAGGAGAAUCUCUGACUGCUUAACAGAUCACCUAAGCUUGCGAUUUGUGCAAUCCUUUCUAGAGUAAGGGCUCCCCGGCUGCUCCCCGGCCACUGUGUACCCAAAGCAGCGGCUGAAAUAGCCCGGAGUCCAACAGCUCAGCGUCAAGCAGCUCGUGGUUUGUACUUACAUCAUUUUUUUUUUCAGAGCAAGAGUGAAAGUUUAUUAAAAAGCGUUAGAACAGUAAG
rnacentral:lncRNA from 1 species